rnacentral:lncRNA from 1 species
CUCCGGAGGAGUAAGCAGAUCCUGCUCCUCGUGUGGCAUCCGUCGCGUUGCUCAUGUUAUCACAAACUCAAUAAAUAAUCUUAUUCGGUAGAUCACAUUCGUGAAAAGGGAAGGGGAUUGUAGUUACGACAUAAGGAACACAUAUCCGAAAUCAUCUGUGAAACGAUAAUUCCAUAACGAUCAACCGCCUCUCGAUGGCAUCCGUAAAAUUAACGAAGGCAUGAUUUCAACUUCAUCAUUUGGAACUCUCAAUUUAAAAGCUUCCUUGUGAUCAGCAACCCUCUAUCAAGGCAAUCAUGAUAGGAAAUACAAGCCCGGGAAUAUCGUAUUAAUUGGGAGAUAUAUACUCCGUAUUCAGACGCAGACUUAAAUCAGAUAAAUGGUUAAAUAUUCAAUAUUUACCAUAAACUUUGUGAAUUUAGUCUAACUUAAUAAGUGCAAGACACAAAAAGGGAAAUUAACUGCCUGGGUAGGCUGACUUUCGUCUGUACCGGUAAAGAAAAUAUCCCUGACAGUUUUAACAUUUUUUUAUUCGAGCGUCACUGAUGAGUCUUUUGUAGACGAAACGCGCGUAAAUAUAAAAUUUUAAUCCUGGUAUCUAUGAUGAGUUUAUUUACAUGUAUACACAAUCUAUCUGAAAAAUAUGCCAGCUUUUCAUAGACAUAGAAUCUGAUUUAAAAAACCUGGUCCACAGCCAGACCAACAUUGGUAAAAGCAAGCAAUCGAUCAAAAUAUAAUUGUUUCUAAAUGAUCACAUGUCAGUCUUUGGUACGCCGGAAGACAGACCAAACUUCAAAUUAAGAUGAGCCAAGUUACGACUAUAACAGCGACCUGUCUGUCUAGCAUAUAGAAUUAUCCUGACAGUUACAUGUAUACUCCACAUAUCUGGAUAUUGUGCCAGCUUUUCGUUGAAAAAAUAAGCUGGUCAAAAUGGUGCCACCACAAGACCAACUUCUGUAUAAGCAAGUAAUCGAUCAAAUAAAAUUGUUCCAACAUAAUCACAUGUCAGUAUUUGGUAAACCCGGAAGACGGAUCCAACUUCGAAUUAUGAUGAGUUAAGUUACGAUUUCAAUGUGUUAAAAUAGAAACAUCACUAGAAAAGAUGACUGCUACGGAAACCUUUCACAAGCAGGAAAUUGAGGACAUUAAACAGCAGCUUCAUCAACAACAGCAGACAAAACCCAC